AGCAAGCCGAACUCCUAGCUCUUAGUGGAGCAGACAGGCCAGGAGAGGCCGGGUGGUGGGAAUUGGCCUAGCAGAAUGUAAGAGAGGCAGGAAUUCCACAAAGAGGUCUCAAAGGUUUGCCGGGAACAUUCUGCUGAGCACCAGGCUGUAUGCGCGCGGAAUCACAGGCAAGGCUCCAGGAGACGGCAGAAAAAGCAGUUUUAGAGGCACUUACAACGGUUUCGCUGUGUAGCUCAGGAUAACCUCAAACUGUGCAUCUUUGGUUAGCUGUGGAUCCUUCUGACUCUGCCUUUAGAGUGUGCUGGACUCAGAUAAUGGAGUCCCCACCCAGCUCUUUCCCCUGCCUCACAGAACUCAUGCCUGCAGCGGCCUGCUGAGAACCAUUUCAUGGCAGGGGAAAAUUCUGGUCUAUGGAAAGGGGUAAAGAGAAUCAAGAGAACCUUGGCUUCUUCCUAC